ensembl:ncRNA F07C4.16 ncRNA
CGGACGUAGAGAAUGUAGUAACGGAAGAUGUAGGAGGAAAUCAUCCAGAUGAGGUUGUAUUCCAAGAAGCAGAGCAUCAACAUGUGUCCAACAUAGCACGCA